UUCUUCGGAAUGAAUUUGAUUAAGUUUAGUGGCGGACGGGUGAGUAACGCGUGAGUAACCUGCCUCUGAGAGGGGAAUAACAUUCUGAAAAGAAUGCUAAUACCGCAUAAUAUAUAUUUAUCGCAUGGUAGAUAUAUCAAAGAUUUAUCGCUUAGAGAUGGACUCGCGUCCGAUUAGUUAGUUGGUGAGGUAACGGCUCACCAAGACCGCGAUCGGUAGCCGGACUGAGAGGUUGAACGGCCACAUUGGGACUGAGACACGGCCCAGACUCCUACGGGAGGCAGCAGUGGGGGAUAUUGCGCAAUGGGGGAAACCCUGACGCAGCAACGCCGCGUGAAGGAUGAAGGUCUUCGGAUUGUAAACUUCUUUUAUUAAGGACGAAUAAAGUGACGGUACUUAAUGAAUAAGCUCCGGCUAACUACGUGCCAGCAGCCGCGGUAAUACGUAGGGAGCAAGCGUUGUCCGGAUUUACUGGGUGUAAAGGGUGCGUAGGCGGCUUUGCAAGUCAGAUGUGAAAUCUAUGGGCUCAACCCAUAGCCUGCAUUUGAAACUGCAGAGCUUGAGUGAAGUAGAGGCAGGCGGAAUUCCCCGUGUAGCGGUGAAAUGCGUAGAGAUGGGGAGGAACACCAGUGGCGAAGGCGGC
rnacentral:rRNA from 1 species